rnacentral:rRNA from 2 species
CCGCAGACGACGCUGGCGGCGUGCCUAAUACAUGCAAGUCGAACGAACUCUGGUAUUGAUUGGUGCUUGCAUCAUGAUUUACAUUUGAGUGAGUGGCGAACUGGUGAGUAACACGUGGGAAACCUGCCCAGAAGCGGGGGAUAACACCUGGAAACAGAUGCUAAUACCGCAUAACAACUUGGACCGCAUGGUCCGAGUUUGAAAGAUGGCUUCGGCUAUCACUUUUGGAUGGUCCCGCGGCGUAUUAGCUAGAUGGUGAGGUAACGGCUCACCAUGGCAAUGAUACGUAGCCGACCUGAGAGGGUAAUCGGCCACAUUGGGACUGAGACACGGCCCAAACUCCUACGGGAGGCAGCAGUAGGGAAUCUUCCACAAUGGACGAAAGUCUGAUGGAGCAACGCCGCGUGAGUGAAGAAGGGUUUCGGCUCGUAAAACUCUGUUGUUAAAGAAGAACAUAUCUGAGAGUAACUGUUCAGGUAUUGACGGUAUUUAACCAGAAAGCCACGGCUAACUACGUGCCAGCAGCCGCGGUAAUACGUAGGUGGCAAGCGUUGUCCGGAUUUAUUGGGCGUAAAGCGAGCGCAGGCGGUUUUUUAAGUCUGAUGUGAAAGCCUUCGGCUCAACCGAAGAAGUGCAUCGGAAACUGGGAAACUUGAGUGCAGAAGAGGACAGUGGAACUCCAUGUGUAGCGGUGAAAUGCGUAGAUAUAUGGAAGAACACCAGUGGCGAAGGCGGCUGUCUGGUCUGUAACUGACGCUGAGGCUCGAAAGUAUGGGUAGCAAACAGGAUUAGAUACCCUGGUAGUCCAUACCGUAAACGAUGAAUGCUAAGUGUUGGAGGGUUUCCGCCCUUCAGUGCUGCAGCUAACGCAUUAAGCAUUCCGCCUGGGGAGUACGGCCGCAAGGCUGAAACUCAAAGGAAUUGACGGGGGCCCGCACAAGCGGUGGAGCAUGUGGUUUAAUUCGAAGCUACGCGAAGAACCUUACCAGGUCUUGACAUACUAUGCAAAUCUAAGAGAUUAGACGUUCCCUUCGGGGACAUGGAUACAGGUGGUGCAUGGUUGUCGUCAGCUCGUGUCGUGAGAUGUUGGGUUAAGUCCCGCAACGAGCGCAACCCUUAUUAUCAGUUGCCAGCAUUAAGUUGGGCACUCUGGUGAGACUGCCGGUGACAAACCGGAGGAAGGUGGGGAUGACGUCAAAUCAUCAUGCCCCUUAUGACCUGGGCUACACACGUGCUACAAUGGAUGGUACAACGAGUUGCGAACUCGCGAGAGUAAGCUAAUCUCUUAAAGCCAUUCUCAGUUCGGAUUGUAGGCUGCAACUCGCCUACAUGAAGUCGGAAUCGCUAGUAAUCGCGGAUCAGCAUGCCGCGGUGAAUACGUUCCCGGGCCUUGUACACACCGCCCGUCACACCAUGAGAGUUUGUAACACCCAAAGUCGGUGGGGUAACCUUUUAGGAACCAGCCGCCUAAGGUGGGACAGAUGAUUAGGGUGAAGUC